rnacentral:ncRNA from 2 species
AUUUUAUAAUGUCUUCGAUCUAGGUUACCUACGGAAUUCAUUCUAUGGUGACUUAGACGAUAGGGUAUAGAAGGAAACUUCUAUGCCUCCCGCAUUAGGAAAGGAGACACAUUAUGAACCGG